rnacentral:lncRNA from 1 species
CUCAAUUGCACCAGAAGGCCUGGCAGUUAAGAGAACCCAGUGAAGAAACCUUUUGCAGAGAGAGAAAAGAACCCUUUUGAAUGUGAUCAUUCACGCUGAUUUAUUUGGAUGAUUUCUCUUCUGGAUUUCCUUAAACCAGGGAAAACCCAGAGACAGAGGUCUUGCUAUGUUGCCUAGGCUGGUCUCAAGCUCCUGGCCUCAAGUGAUUCUCCUUCCUCAGCCUCCAAAAGUGCUGGGAUUACAGUUGCAACAGUGACCUGUGACGCAGUAGGGAGGGCUGUUUUCCAUGCCCAGUGAGGCCUGCUCAGCUCCCAUGAGGCCUUUAUGGAUGGCCUGCCUCCCAACUGGUACCUGGUCCCAUCACAGUCCCAGGACUCUAGACCUCAAGGCAGCCAGGUGGGUGCUACAGAUGGUGACCUCUCAGUGGCACAGCCUGGCCUUGCAGCAGAAUGCGGGGUUGGGGGCAGGGUGAAGAAUGGAGUCUGGAUUGUGCCAAAACAGGAGUUUCUAUGUCUGGUCCUGCCACCGACUGCACCUGCAUUGCUGCGUGACCUUGACAGCUACUCCUUCCACACCUGAACAUCCUCAUCUGGAAACUGGACUUGCCUUCUAGGGUUCCUGCAAAUAUAAAAUGAGCUAACACCUUUGAGGUGUUUGGUAUUGUCCUGGCACUUGGCAAAUAAUAAUAAAUAUUAGCGAUCACUUGCGAGGGGGUGUGGGGUUCGGGGGAGCUUUGCCCCUCCUUCCCCUCUCCAGGGCUGAGCAGCAGUGAAGAGCUUUCUGCAUAAGAGAGAGCAAGAGAGAAAUAAACCCACAUCUUCCUCUGAAA